rnacentral:tmRNA from 1 species
GGGGACGUAUUGAUUCGACAGAUCAUUCAAAAAGAAACAUUCGGAUCGAGGUGCCGGGCUCCUCGUAAAACUUCUGGCAACAAUACGUGCAAACGUAUUCAAUUCAAACGGUGCUUUUGCGCCCGCUAUGGCUUAAUCGCGUUUAACGCGACCUAAAUCAUAGUUGCUUCCCCGAAGAAGUUCCUUCGGGCAUCGGUUCCAUUGCGUCGCAUGGGUGGGUCGCCGGUGUGAUAUAGUGCGACUUGAGCUUGGAUUUUCCCGGGGACCAGGCUGACCAUUACCGGACAACAGCUACGAGGAUCUUGUCGGAUUCUCUACUUCGCUGGCUGUAAAACGAAUCCGACUAUGUCCGUAGUCAAUGUUUCUUGGCGACGAUCUGGACGCGGGUUCAUUGCCCGCCGUCUCCACCC